rnacentral:tRNA from 1 species
UUGUGUGAAACUAAUUUAUAGUGCUUCAUUGUUAAUGAAGUUAAGGAAUUUUCUCCCUCACAAU